CAGUCUCAGUUCGGAUUGAAGGCUGAAAUUCGCCUUCAUGAAGCCGGAAUUGCUAGUAAUGGCAGGUCAGCAUACUGCCGUGAAUACGUUCCCGGGCCUUGUACACACCGCCCGUCAAGCCAUGGGAGCCGGGGGCGCCUGAAGUCCGGGACCGCGAGGACCGGCCUAGGGCGAAACUGGUGACUGGGGCUAAGUCGUAACAAGGUAUC
rnacentral:rRNA from 1 species